rnacentral:rRNA from 1 species
UGGGGAAUAUUGGACAAUGGGGGCAACCCUGAUCCAGCCAUGCCGCGUGAGUGAAGAAGGCCUUCGGGUUGUAAAGCUCUUUCGGCGGGGACGAUGAUGACGGUACCCGCAUAAGAAGCCCCGGCUAACUUCGUGCCAGCAGCCGCGGUAAUACGAAGGGGGCUAGCGUUGUUCGGAAUUACUGGGCGUAAAGCGCGCGUAGGCGGCGACCUUUGUCAGAGGUGAAAUCCCGAGGCUCAACUUCGGAAUUGCCUUUGAAACGGGGUUGCUUGAGUCCGAGAGAGGGUGGCGGAAUUCCUAGUGUAGAGGUGAAAUUCGUAGAUAUUAGGAAGAACACCGGUGGCGAAGGCGGCCACCUGGCUCGGUACUGACGCUCAGGCGCGAAAGCGUGGGGAGCAAACAGG